UACGUAGGCAGCGAGCGUUGUUCGGAAUUACUGGGCGUAAAGUGUGCGCAGGCGGCCGCGCAAGUCGAGUGUGAAAGCCCCGGGCUUAACUUGGGAAUUGCGCUCGAAACUACGUGGCUGGAGUAUGGCAGAGGAAGGUGGAAUUCCACGUGUAGCGGUGAAAUGCGUAGAGAUGUGGAGGAACACCGAUGGCGAAGGCAGCCUUCUGGGCCAAUACUGACGCUCAUGCACGAAAGCGUGGGGAGCAAACAGG
rnacentral:rRNA from 1 species